GAUGAACGCUGGCGGCGUGCCUAACACAUGCAAGUCGAACGGAGUUCUUGAGGAAUGCGACUUCGGUCAAAUGACUUUUGAACUUAGUGGCGGACGGGUGAGUAACGCGUGAGCAACCUGCCUUUCAGAGGGGGAUAACAUUUGGAAACAGAUGCUAAUACCGCAUAGUAAGGAUUUAGGCAUCUAUUUCCUUUUAAAGACGCGUUUGCGUCACUUAUUGAUGGGCUUAUGGUGUAUUAGCUAGUUGGUGGGGUAACUGCUCACCAAGGCGAUGAUACAUAGCCGGCCUGAGAGGGUGAACGGCCACAUUGGGACUGAGACACGGCCCAG
rnacentral:rRNA from 1 species